AAUGAACGCUGGCGGCGUGCUUAACACAUGCAAGUCGAACGAGAAAGUUCUUCGGAACUAGUAAAGUGGCAAACGGGUGAGUAACGCGUGAGAAUUUACCUUUUAGUGAAGGAUACUCCCGAGAAAUCGGGGUUAAUACUGCAUAAGUCUCGAAAGAGAGAAAGGCGGCCUCUUUGCUGUCGCUAAAAGAUAAGCUUGCGUCCUAUUAGCUAGUUGGUGUGGUAAAGGCGCACCAAGGCAAUGAUGGGUAACCGGCCUGAGAGGGUGUACGGUCACACUGGAACUGAGACACGGUCCAGACUCCUACGGGAGGCAGCAGUGGGGAAUUUUGGACAAUGGGCGCAAGCCUGAUCCAGCCAUGCCGCGUGCAGGAUGAAGGCCUUCGGGUUGUAAACUGCUUUUGUACGGAACGAAAAGACUCUGGUUAAUACCUGGGGUCCAUGACGGUACCGUAAGAAUAAGCACCGGCUGACUACGUGCCAGCCGCCGCCGUAA
rnacentral:rRNA from 1 species